rnacentral:rRNA from 1 species
AUUGAACGCUGGCGGCAGGCCUAACACAUGCAAGUCGAACGAGUGGCGGACGGGUGAGCAAUGUCUGGGAAACUGCCUGAUGGAGGGGGAUAACUACUGGAAACGGUAGCUAAUACCGCAUACCAUCAGAUGUGCCCAGGUGGGAUUAGCUGGUUGGUGGGGUAACGGCUCACCAAGGCGACGAGCCCUAGCUGGUCUGAGAGGAUGACCGGCCAACUUGGACCUGGGAAAGGCUCCAGCACCCUACGGGGGGAAUCAGUGGGAAAUAUUGGACAAUGGGCGAAAUCCGGAUGAGCCAUGCCGCGUGUAUGAAGAAGGCCUUCGGGUUGUAAAGUACUUUCAGCGGGGAGGCGUUACCCGCAGAAGAAGCACCGGCUAACUCCGUGCCAGCAGCCGCGGUAAUUC